CCUACGGGGGGCAGCAGUAGGGAAUCUUCCACAAUGGGCGAAAGCCUGAUGGAGCAACGCCGCGUGGGUGAAGAAGGUCUUCGGAUCGUAAAACCCUGUUGUUAGAGAAGAAAGUGCGUGAGAGUAACUGUUCACGUUUCGACGGUAUCUAACCAGAAAGCCACGGCUAACUACGUGCCAGCAGCCGCGGUAAUACGUAGGUGGCAAGCGUUAUCCGGAUUUAUUGGGCGUAAAGGGAACGCAGGCGGUCUUUUAAGUCUGAUGUGAAAGCCUUCGGCUUAACCGGAGUAGUGCAUUGGAAACUGGGAGACUGGAGUGCAGAAGAGGAGAGUGGAACUCCAUGUGUAGCGGGGAAAUGCGUAGAUAUAUGGAAGAACACCAGUGGCGAAAGCGGCUCUCUGGUCUGUAACUGACGCUGAGGUUCGAAAGCGUGGGUAGCAAACAGGAUUAGAUACCCCUGUAGUC
rnacentral:rRNA from 1 species